CGGGGGAGGGAGGUGCUGCACCGAGGCCCCGCCCACGCCGCGGGGACACUCAGAACGAGGCCCCCGAGGGGUGGGACCGUUGCCGCUGGUGCCGUGUUUCCCCGAGGCGCUGGGGGGCCGGUUCGGGGGACACAGACAUGGCCGCCUCCGCGCUGCUGGGCUGCGGCCGGGCCGUGACUCGCAAGACUUUACAACUAGAAGCAUGGGGACUCCGAAGCGCCUCUCCAUCUCUUUCUCUCUGCACCAAAUCAGAGGGCUCUAAAAAAAGUCAAGAAAAGAAUGUGGUGGCACCUCAGGAGAGCACCAAACUGCUGGCCACCAAAACAACAGUUGAAUUCCCUAAAAAGUUGUUUCCUAGUUCUCAUCCACCAUCUGCAAAUAAAGUUGAGACCAAGAUCAUAACUAGUACUAGCAAUGAUGAAGCUUUAAAGCUUACGGAUGAAGAGGUGAGGAAAUUCUUGUCAAGAAAAACUUUGGUAGCAUUUCCUGAGCGAGUAACACUUUCCUCACUUGAGGGAAAGGCUUCUAUCACAAGAAGAGGAGGCUUGAGCAAGAAGUUGGCUGAGGAAGAGUCUUCAUCCAGCUCUGAAUCAGAUUCUAGCUCUGAUUCUGAUGAAGAAGAUAGUGCCUCAGAAAUUUCCACUAAAACCAGAGUAGAGUUUCCAAGACGAGAUCCCUUAUUUUUUGAGAACAGAACAGUGAAGGUAAUGACAUUGGCAGAAGAGAGCUUGUCCGAGAAAGGAGAUGAAGAAUAUAUACCUAAGAAGAAGCCCAGACCAGAAUUUGAAGUGCCUCACAUCAAGCAGAUGGAGUCUGGUAAAACAGCAACAGCCAACAGUAAAAUAUUAAAGUCAGAAACAAGAGAACCUUCCGUGAAACAAAGCCCAAAAGGGACAGAUUUGCAGAAGUCAGUCUUAAAAACACAGGCUAAAGAAAGCCAAAAGCCAACAGCCGUCAGACUUAAGGAAUCUAGGCACUUGGCAGAGCCUCCCAUUGGAGCCCCACCAGCAGCAGCACAGCUAAAAGUUCCACCAGGGCCUCAGCAAGAAGUGGAACAAAAGCUGACUUUAUUGAAAUGGGAAGAAACCAAGACAAGGGAGGUACAGGAGACUGAGAUAAAAGAAAAAGCUUCUCCUAAACUGCAAGAGGAGUUUUUGAAGGAAACACCCUUCAUGGUAAACACUACAACAGAGGAGGAGAUCAUUCAAGAAGCUGGAGCUCAGACUGAAGAGCAAGGCACUACACAGGUAGAACCACAUUGAAGACAGCCAGCGACAUGUGCCCAACCUCUGGAUUCUCUCCUUUUUCUUCCUGUAUAACUGCUGCAUACAAACCCAGUAGCUGCCUUUCUGCUGAGCUGAAUGUGCCACCAUCCCAUUUGCUCAAAUGCUGCCACUGUCUCCCUCAAUUUUGCCAUACCACAGAUUGCAACAGAUUUGGAUAGCACAGGAAGAUCACAGGAGCAGGAGUUAGCUGUGAGACAGGCAGACUUGUAAGAGACCAAAACAGCUGCUGCAUGUGCACAGGAGGAAUUUGAUAAUUCUACCUACAAGAACCUCCAGCAUCAUG